CGAGGGAGAGAUGAAAGGAGGUCUAAGUUAAGAUUAUACCGCAAUCCUCGAGGACAUAUGUUGUUUGAACAUACUAUUACUUCUAACAACGGUCUCUCAUAUGACAACACACGUUCAUUUUUAUCUGAAACAACUUACGUGCCAUUGACUUCCCCGCUCAGUUGCAUAGGUUCAUUUUGGCACAAAUUGGCGUAUAACUUUAUCAUCCGCAUGUCACCAAUUUCCAAGCGUUUUGGUUGGUAUGAUUGUUGGGACGGAUGGAAUGACCGCUGGGACUUACUGCAAUUCCGGCAGCUCGUGAAGAUCUCUCUUGUCUUGACUUGCACACUCCUACCCCAGGCCGGCACUACAGCUCAUGGCACAUUUGCCCCUAGCUCAGAUAGAGAAACUUUCAGGUCAGCAGCUCUGAUUUUGGCCCGGGGUGGCAGCAAGGGAAUCAAGAAGAAAAACCUAUCUGUGGUCAACGGGAAAACGCUUAUCAAGAGAGCCGUCGAAAAUAUCCUCGAAUCCGAUGGUGAGAGAAGACGCAUUUUUUCAUUUAUCUGAUAUUCAAAUUAUUCCCUCA
rnacentral:lncRNA from 1 species